GGGGAUAUUAGCUCAGCAGUAGAGCACUUGCUUAGCAUGUGUGUGACCCUGGGUUUGAUUCCCCAGUACCACCA
rnacentral:tRNA from 1 species